UAGGGAAUCUUCGGCAAUGGACGGAAGUCUGACCGAGCAACGCCGCGUGAGUGAAGAAGGUCUUCGGUUCGUAAAGCUCUGUUGUUAGAGAAGAACGUUGGUAGGAGUGGAAAAUCUACCAAGUGACGGUAACUAACCAGAAAGGGACGGCUAACUACGUGCCAGCAGCCGCGGUAAUACGUAUGUCCCGAGCGUUGUCCGGAUUUAUUGGGCGUAAAGCGAGCGCAGGCGGUUCUUUAAGUCUGAAGUUAAAGGCAGUGGCUUAACCGUUGUAUGGUUUGGAAACUGGAGGACUUGAGUGCAGAAGGGUGUGGUGGAAUUCCAUAUGUUGCGGUGAAAUACGUAGUUAUAUGUAGGAACACAGGUGGCGAACGCGUCUCUCUGGUCUGUAACUUACGCUGAGGCUCAAAAGCGUGGGGAGCAAACAGG
rnacentral:rRNA from 1 species